rnacentral:rRNA from 1 species
AUGGGCGACUUCAACAAGAUUUACCGAGCACGAGAUAAAAAUAACAGGAACAUCAAUCGCAGCCGCCUCAACCGCUUCCGUGCUACACUAGACACUUGUGAACUAAAAGAGAUCCACCUCCAGAACAGACGCUUCACUUGGAGUAACGAGCGUCAAAACCCUACUCUAUGCAAGCUGGACUCAGUUUUCUGCAACACCGACUGGGACAUGCAUUUUGAUUCUCAUGUGCUUCAUGCCAUUUCUUCUCCGCUAUCAGACCAUUGCCCCCUUCUCCUUGCUGAUGACAGGGGACCGAAGCGACCAAGAUGCUUCAGAUUUGAGAAUUUCUGGUCCUGUAUCCCAGGAUUUUUUGACACCGUGUCCAAGGCUUGGGAGGAGCCGUGUGCCCACACGGAGCCAUACCAACGGCUUUUCCAUAAGCUCAAG